AGCGGGUGCUCGCGAGCCGCGCUGCCUUUCGAAGCCGCUACACGAGCGCGGGACGGCGGCAGCACGAGCACAGGGCACCGGGCACCGGGCACCGGGCACCGGGCAUCGGGUACCGGGUACCGGGUACCGGGCAGCGCCGUGCCGGGAGCCGGGCGGUGCGAGCCCCUCCCCUCGAGCUGCAGGCUCCAUCGACCGGACGCACUGUAUUGCUCACUGUUUUAUCUAUCUAAUUUAACCGAAAGAGGAGAGAUUUAGGCUGGAUAUAAGGUAGAAGUUUUUGACGAUAAGGGCGGUGAGGCACUGGCAUAGGUUGCCCAGAGAGGUGGUGGGUGCCGCAUCCCUGGAGACAUCCAGGGUUGGACUGAACGGGGCUCUGAGCAACCUGGUAUAGCUGUUGGUGUCCCUGUUCAUUGCAGGGGAGUUGGACUAGAUGGCCUUUAAGGCCCUCUGAGCAGAAGAGAGCAAGAUGAACUCCUACCCCCUUCAAAACUCCCUCUUCAUGACCCCAUAUGGUAUGGAAUAUCCUUUUGUUCAGUUUACAUCAGCUGUCCUUAUUCUGUUUCCUCCCAGCUCCUUGGGCCCUUCCCUACAAACAGCUCUGUACAACACAACUUCGAAACAAUUACAAACAUCGGUGUGUUAUCAACACUGUUUUUCUCCCAGAACCAAAACAUAGCAUCAUACUAGACACUUUGUUCCAUCAGUUCAGAUACAGUUCCAUCAAUUCAGAUACAGUUCCAUCCCAACUGAAACUAAGACAAAUGACCAUGAUCCUGCACCUUGGAUUUGCCCCCAGGCAUCAGAAGCUGCUCAGUACCUGUCCUGUGUAUCACUGCACAGGGUUUUUAAUAGGAAUUACAGAAAGACAUUGGUAAAGGAAUUUGAAAACUAUAAACAAAAGAGAAAUUCCUCUGCAUCACCCACCCAAUCAAAGACCUGUAUUACUGAAUUAUUGAUAAGAAUACCUGAAAGAAUUUAGAGUGAGAGUCUGGUGGAAAAAGGUAAGCAUUGUGCUUUAAGAAAUCCAUCAGUACUUUUUUUUCUUCUCCUUUCCCUACCCCUUCCUUCCUUCCUUCCUUCCUUCCUUCCUUCCUUCCUUCCUUCCUUCCCUCCUCCCUUCCUCCCUUCCUCCCUUCCUCUCUCCCUUCCUGCCUCUCUCCCUUCCUGCCUCCCUCACUCACUCCAUCGCUCCCUGUGAUAUUCUAGGGACAAAAUGGCAUAUGUUUGAAGAUUUACUGAUUUUUCCUUCCUUUGAGGUCUGAAUUACACCAAUAACCUGGUAUUAUCUCGAUCUGACCAGUUUAUCAUGUACAGAGCUCAUCAGAGCACUUGCUACAUUUUAAAAUAAACCAGCCUGACAGAAUUUAGAAAAUAUAAAAUGCUCUGUUUGGUUGUGCCAUGACGUGGAGCAACAGCAUAAUCAAAAUAGGAUUGCAGUCACCAUCUCCUUGAGUACAAUGCUUUGACUUCCCAGAAGAUUGUGUCCUUCACAAGCCACCCACUUACAAAUGAAUGCAAAUGAGUAGAGGAAGGCUUCUCUUCAAGCUGCCUGCAGCAAGUGAGCUCUGUAGUGGAAAUCCAGUUCAGCAAAGCAAGUCAGCAUGUGUGUAAGACCGCUUCAUUUUGGCAAAGCAUUUAAGAAUGUGCUUAACUUUAAACAUGUACUUAGCUGAAUGGUUUUGCUGAGUGGGGAUUGAUGGCUGAAUUAAGGCAUUAAACAUUAAUGACAGAGCUGGGAACACAAAAUAGUAUGUAAAUGAGGAUUUGUCGGGACUAGACCAAACUGAUUCAAUGAUGCAACCAUUAUAUGAUUAAGAUCUCUUAAAAGACAUGAAGCCAUUAGAAAGGCUUAGAGCUUGCUGACUUGAGGUGGGUGACAAGCACUGAGAGUUACUCCAGACCUUGCGCCAUCUCAGCUCAGCUGCAUUUAAGGUGCCUGGAGCGGGGGGGCAGGGGAGAGGGGUGGGGAGAUAGGUGGGAAUCUCUUCCACACGGUGGCUGAAGCUCUUAAAUCUGUUGGAAUGACUUUAACCAGACCUGUUGCCCAGGGCAACCCUGCAGUGUUGGCUACCAAUUUCCUCCUGGCCAGGAUGAAGAAGGCCCUUACUAUGGCCAUGUUUCCAGGUGUCUCCAUGCUCCUUGAUAUCAGGGACUUCUGGUCGUCCUUGGUCUUGCCAUGAGAGGUAGCAGGAUCUACUCAGGCAGCUCCGUUCCUCUCUUCCAAAGAGACUCUGGUCUUUGCCAAUUGUCCUUCAUGUUCCCAAUGCCUAUGAAAGGGUGGCUAGGGAACUAUGUGCUGUUCUUUCCAUCGUGUGCUGAUGACAUCUGCUCUUUCUAUUUCUCUCUUCUCAGAUGCACUCAGGGCAGCCAAACCAUCACAGAGUGACUCAUGGAGAUGGAGAUGUGAAUAAGAGCUAGCUGCCCGUCUGUCCACAAGUGACUGAAGUAAUGCUUGCUGGAGAAAGCAGCUGGUUCCUUCCUGCCUGAUAGAAGAUGAGUUUGCUUCUCCAAGUCAAAGCAAUACUGUGCUUCCCUUGUUCAUGCUUUUCGUGGCUUCUGUUUCGUGUUUUCUAAAUCUUGCAUGUACUGUAGAUUUAACUUUCUGUUAACAAUGUGUUUUGCAGGAUCUGCUAUAAGCUGUGAAAUAAUUGUGCUGGUUUUGCAUGUUAAAAUAAUUUGAACAGAAACAAAAUGUUUUUUUUUUUCCUUACAGGAAAAGCUAUGGUGAGUUGUUUGGUAAAGUUCCACCUAUUUCAGAGGCUGGAUAGACCAGCAGCUCUGCCAUUUGUUCUGUGUCUGAUUUAUAGAACACAUGCCAGUGAUUUUUGGCUGUGUUUGUGCAUCAGAAAUGUUUGUGCAGAGAAUCAGUCAGUUUCAGAGGAGAGAAUGGAAUCAAAUGGAAUCAAGGGUAGCUUUGAACUAUGAUCAAUGUGAAGUCCAUUUACAGAAGGUUUGAAAAGAGAGAAAAUAUCUCUUUCUUGCGCCAAACUGAAUACACAAUUUCACUGUGAAAAGAUGUGCUUCCAAACAUGAGUCUCUCCUUGAGUUAGAAGCCAGAUGAAAAAUCAUAGCAAGGAUGCUCAACGUCUAGAAACCAGAGCAAGAACACUUUCAUACCACUGGGGACCUAUGAUCUGAAGCAUCUGAACCUUAUAGCAAACACUAUUUCUUGCCCACAAGGUACAUUUCUUGUUUAGAAAUAUAUGUACAGCUUGUGUAAUAUGGGAGUAUUACAUAUGGGAAAUCUGGAGUAUCCAUUAUUCCUGUGUUCAGGUUAAAAAUGAAUCACUCUGAAUGAGCAUCAUGGUUUUUUUGCUUGUGUGUUUUUGUUUGUUUUGCAUUUAUUUUGUACAACACUGGGAAAAAUUAAAUUAAAAAUGACAGAUGAAAAUAUUCUAUUUCAGUAGCUAGAUCGUGAAAUAAUUUUCUUGGAAGUGUGUGCUGAAAGCUUCAGUGUAAUAAGUUUGAUGUAAUUAAAUGAUGAUGGAGUUAGCAGCUAAUCUCCUCUGAGAAUGACUUCUAUUAUAACAAAUAAAAAUCCUGCCCCAAUUGUUCUCUGAAUAUAAAGCAAGCAUUACGUGAUUGAUGUAGCUCCAUCUUCCAACCAUUUGAAUUUCUCAGAGAAAACUGGUACAUCAAAGAAGUAUUUCACAUGUUUAGAGUCAGAAAUGAUAUGACUAAAACUAGAACUGUAUGCAGUUGUAUAACUGUUCUCCAGAUUGGUAAAGCUUUUAUUCUGACAGUUCUUUUGCAAAUCCUGUUUCAUCGUCAAGACUACAAAAUACCACUGGACUUAGCAUGAUUUAUGACAUUUUCAUGUAAUACUUGUAUCUAAAUCCCACAAUAAAUUCUAGGGAGGGAAAAUACCAUAACAGGCCUAAUAAGCAUUAUGACUUAACCAUCGUAGAAUAAUCAAACCUGAAAGCCUCAGGAUCUGAGAUGUUCAGAUCUACCAGGAGCCUGUUUAGAGUAGGAGUGGACUUAACAUCUCCAGACAUCUCUCACAACCUAAAUGGUUUCAGGACUCUGUGAUUGCUGCAUGGUCUCUUCUUGAUUGCCUUGAGUAUUCUCGACUUGUCUGUCUUUGGCUUUUGUUCAGCAGAGCACUUCUUUACUUUGUGAGCAGUAGCACUGCUGUUACUAGAGCAGCAUAGGGAUAUGAUUCCAAGACAUUAUAAAGAGAAUGAGUAUCCUUUUCUGUAGACCACCUGAUGCGGCUAGAACAAAUACAGUUAUCAGGAGCCUACGUACAUUCACAGUUUUGAUCCUAAAAAAGCAGCAAACACCAAGCUGAAUACAGGUUGGGAACAAUUGCUUUGUUCGAAUGAAAGCAUAUUUCUCUCUCGCAGUAAAGAA
rnacentral:lncRNA from 1 species